GCUAACUCUUUCAAGAAUUUGGCGACGUCUUUCGAUAGGGAAAUUGAGAAUUUCUUUAAUUCGGCUUCCAGUUUCUCUGUUCCUGCAAUCGGGUCGGGGUCUUCUCCUCCUGCCGAGAUUGAGUUCGUGAAGAAAUUGCAGCCGAAGAUAUCGGAGAUUCGCAGGGUGUACUCCACGCCGGAUUUUAGCAAAACUGUGCUGGAGAAGUGGAAGCCCAGGACGAGGAUUCGGAUUGAUUUGUCUGCUAUUAAGAACGCAAUUGUGUCU
rnacentral:misc_RNA from 1 species